rnacentral:rRNA from 1 species
ACAGCAGUAGCCGCGGUAAUACGAAGGGUGCAAGCGUUAAUCGGAAUUACUGGGCGUAAAGCGUGCGUAGGCGGUGAGUUAAGUCUGCUGUGAAAUCCCCGGGCUCAACCCCGGAACUGCAUCCGAUACUGCCAUGCUAGAGGAUUGGAGAGGUAGCUGGAAUUCUUGGUGUAGCAGUGAAAUGCGUGGAGAUCAAGAGGAACACUCGUGGCGAAAGCGAGCUACUGGACAAUAACUGACGCUGAGGCUCGAAGGCCAGGGUAGCGAAAGGGAUUAGAUACCCCGGUAGUCCCUGUCUCUUAUAC